UGCAUAUCAAUAAAGCGGAGGAAAGGAAACCAACAGGGAUUGCCUCAGUAACGGCGAGUGAAGCGGCAAAAGCUCAAAUUUGAAAUCCCCCGGGAAUUGUAAUUUGAAGAGAUUUGGGUCCGGCCGGCGGGGGUUAAGUCCACUGGAAAGUGGCGCCACAGAGGGUGACAGCCCCGUGAACCCCUUUAACGCCUUCAUCCCAGAUCUCCAAGAGUCGAGUUGUUUGGGAAUGCAGCUCUAAGUGGGUGGUAAAUUCCAUCUAAAGCUAAAUACCGGCGAGAGACCGAUAGCGAACAAGUACAGUGAUGGAAAGAUGAAAAGCACUUUGAAAAGAGAGUGAAAAAGUACGUGAAAUUGUUGAAAGGGAAGGGCUUGCAAGCAGACACUUAACUGGGCCAGCAUCGGGGCGGCGGGAAGCAAAACCACCGGGGAAUGUACCUCUCGAGGAUUAUAACCCCGGUCUCAAUUUCCUUGUUGCCCCGAGGCCUGCAAUCUAAGGAUGCUGCGAUAAUCGGUGCAAGUCGCCCGUCUUGAAACCCACGGACC
rnacentral:rRNA from 1 species